AUGGAAGGAGAGAACUUUUGCUUGGUAGGAAGAAUAAGAAGACCCACCUCAAGUGCUGCCCAAGGCCUUCCCUCUGCUGCAGACAGAAAAGCUAUCUUUUUGAAAGAAGAUGCUGAACUCUAGGGUAAUUGUGAACAGAGGCUGGAAAAGAACUGGAUUCAUUCUCUCUCUCUAGUAGCCUCAGAUUAAAGCUGAAAUCCCAGGAAAAAGUUCUGUUCAGAAAAGCUGAAGCAGAGGACCAGACAUUUAAAGUAGUAGUUAUUUCUGCAGAAGACAGCUUUGGAAUUUACUCUUCAUCAAUUCAAACUGAAUUUACCUUCAGAUAAAGCAGGGUUGGGGGUGGACACCAGUCUCCCUUGAAGAUAGGUGGCAACUGCAAGAGCUAUCAAGGCACUAUUCCAAGCAGGAGAUGAAGGAGGGUGUGAAGACACAGAGAGCUUCUGGGAGAGGAGAUUUCAGACCUGCAGCAUUCCAUCCUGAGGCUCUGCCAUUCUGCUUGAACUUGGUGCUUUCAAAUAUUUUUUUGAAAAAUUGAUGGGCCACUUUCUAAAUUGUGUACUAACUGUGUUUAAUUGGCUACUUUUCAUAGAGUUUGAUUCUUGAAUAAAGC